AGUUUAUGCGGUGUCUUUUCCGAGAAUGGUUUACGGGUGAGGACACUUCCAUCAAUGCCUGCUUCAAGUAGCCUGACUUUGAAAUACCUGUUUUGACUGUUAUUGCGACUGUUGUUGCUGCUGGACUACUAAGAGUAUUUGGCCGAGAGGUUGCAGAACUUCCAUUAGUUGCAACACGCAUGUGCAGCCGAGAGAAGGGCUACUUUCAAUUGCUCUUUUCAUGCAUUGAGAAGCUACUCUCAUCCCUGAAUGUUGGAAGCAUAGUGGUUCCAGCAGCUGAAGAGGAAGAGCAUUUAUGGAUGAACAAAUUUGGGUUCAGAAAACUUGCACCUGAACAACUCAGUAAGUAUAUAAAGAUAUGCUACCAAAUGGUGAGGUUCAAAGGAGCAUCCAUGCUGCAGAAACCAGUUGAUUCACACCAAAUCAUUGAAAAUGGAAACUUUGGA